GGGGUAGGGACAGAGACAGGUUUAGGGGUAGGGACAGAGACAGGUUUAGGGGUAGGGACAGAGACAGGUUUAGGGGUAGGGACAGAGACAGGUUUAGGGGUAGGGACAGAGACAGGUUUAGGGGUAGGGACAGAGACAGGUUUAGGGGUAGGGACAGAGACAGGUUUAGGGGUAGGGACAGAGACAGGUUUAGGGGUAGGGUCAGAGACAGGUUUAGGGGUAGGGACAGAGACAGGUUUAGGGGUAGGGACAGAGACAGGUUUAGGGGUAGGGACAGAGACAGGUUUAGGGGUAGGGACAGAGACAGGUUUAGGGGUAGGGACAGAGACAGGUUUAGGGGUAGGGACAGAGACAGGUUUAGGGGUAGGGACAGAGACAGGUUUAGGGGUGGGGGUAGGGACAGAGACAGCUUUAGGGGUAGGGACAGAGACAGGUUUAGGGGUGGGGGUAGGGACAGAGACAGGUUUAGGGACAGAGACAGGUUUAGGGGUGGGGGUAGGGACAGAGACAGGUUUAGGUGUAGGGACAGAGACAGGUUUAGGGGUUGGUGUAGGGACAGAGACAGGUUUAGGUGUAGGGACAGAGACAGGUUUAGGGGUAGGGACAGAGACAGGUUUAGGGGUAGGGACAGAGACAGGUUUAGGGGUAGGGACAGAGACAGGUUUAGGGGUAGGGACAGAGACAGGUUUAGGGGUAGGGACAGAGACAGGUUUAGGGGUAGGGACAGAGACAGCUUUAGGGGUAGGGACUGAAGCAAAGGGCUCAAGCUGUGCCUCUACAGGAGGACACGUGAUCCCUCUGCUGGCCAGGUCCACCAGACUGUUGUUGUUGUUGUUGUUGUUGGUGUUGGUG